AAAUUAAAUGGCUGCAGUAACCAUGACUGUAAAAAUGUAGCAUAAUAAUUCGCCACUUAAUUAGUGGAUAGUAUGAAUGGUUAAACGAAAAUUCCACUGUCUUAUAAAAUAUAAUAGAAAAUUUAAAUCAUAGUUAAGAUGUAUGUAAAACUGUAAGACGAAAAGACCCUAUAAAGCUUAACUAUAAAUCUUAAUAAAAACUUGAAACCAAAACAAUCAUUAAGAUUUGGUAGUUUCAUUGGGGCGAUGAUCUCUAAAAAUAAACAGAGAUAAACUUAUAUAAUAAUAUAAUUUUACUGUUUAAUUUAUAAAUUUAACAGUUACAAAGUAGAGUAUAAUGACCCAUUAUUUUAAUUAAUAAAAAAUAAUGAACAAUAAAUAAAAGCUACUUUAGGGAUAACAGGAUAAUAAUUUCUUAGAGACCUAAUCGAAGAAAAAGUUUAUCACCUCGAUGUUGAAUUAAGAUAACCUAAUGACGCAGC
rnacentral:rRNA from 1 species